AUUUAUAUAGUUUAUCUUAAAACAUUACAUUUUCAUUGUAAAAAUAAAAUAUUAAUUUUUAUAAAUA
rnacentral:tRNA from 1 species